AAAAUCUGAUGGGCCACCUACCUUCUUGGGAAUGGAAGUCAAGUUUUUUCCUGUUGCCAUGGUCAUGAUGGAGCUGUGAGGAGGCUUGCCCAGGAGCGAGAUACUGGAGAAAGAGCAGAAGGAGAGAUAUUCCUGUGAGCCUCUUCUGAAGAAAGUACAAGCAGCAGUGAUGAGCCUACAGGGAUCAAAGUCAGCCUACGCUGGAAAGUGCAUUCAUUUUUAGGCCAGACGUAGAACUGAAGGGCGGUACAAGGCCAAAUAGUUCUCCUGCUUGAAGAGAUCUUUAGCACCUGGUGUGAAACCUGAAACAUGAACACAAGGAGGAGAAAAAUUAGGCUCAAACCAAAGCAAAAGAAA